UAGGGAAUCUUCCGCAAUGGACGCAAGUCUGACGGAGCAACGCCGCGUGAGUGAAGAAGGAUUUAGGUUCGUAAAACUCUGUUGUUAGAGAAGAACAGCGCAUAGAGUAACUGUUAUGCGUGUGACGGUAUCUAACCAGAAAGCCACGGCUAACUACGUGCCAGCAGCCGCGGUAAUACGUAGGUGGCAAGCGUUGUCCGGAUUUAUUGGGCGUAAAGCGAGCGCAGGCGGUCAAUUAAGUCUGAUGUGAAAGCCCCCGGCUCAACCGGGGAGGGUGAUUGGAAACUGGUUGACUUGAGUGCAGAAGAGAAGAGUGGAAUUCCAUGUGUAGCGGUGAAAUGCGUAGAUAUAUUGAGGAACACCAGUGGCGAAGGCGACUCUCUGGUCUGUAACUGACGCUGAGGCUCGAAAGCGUGGGUAGCAAACAGG
rnacentral:rRNA from 1 species